rnacentral:rRNA from 1 species
UACGUAGGGUGCGAGCGUUGUCCGGAAUUAUUGGGCGUAAAGAGCUUGUAGGUGGCUCGUUGCGUCGGGAGUGAAAACCUGCGGCUUAACCGCAGGCCUGCUUCCGAUACGGGCGAGCUAGAGUUCGGCAGGGGAGGCUGGAAUUCCUGGUGUAGCGGUGGAAUGCGCAGAUAUCAGGAGGAACACCGGUGGCGAAGGCGGGUCUCUGGGCCGAUACUGACACUGAGAAGCGAAAGCGUGGGGAGCGAACAGG